rnacentral:tRNA from 1 species
UGUCAAGGGAUGGGAAUCGAACAACGACCUUCCGCUUACCGGGCAGAUGCCAUGACCACUAGGCUACCCUGGAC